AGACCACCACGAUGACUUGUAAGCAACUCACUGUAUUUUAGUACUGGAUUAUCUGAGUUUCUAACUCAGUGACGGAAGGCUACUGGGUGCAGUCAAGUACUUAUCAAGUCGGUGUGUGAGUCAAGAUGAAAUUGAUCCCUCUGAAUUAGUAGGAAAUAUGUAUCAGUGUAUCUGAAUUUAGAAAAAUCUUGAUCAGGAUAAUCUAUAAGAUAG
rnacentral:lncRNA from 1 species